ACAGCUUCUCAUAUUUUGCUAAAAUCAAGGGUAGCAUGUGUUCUUAUCGGUUUAAUAUCUGGAGUAUCCUCUGGCAACUAUAUAUUCAAUAGAUUUUAUUUUGAAAGAGAAAGAUUCUUCUCUGUGUACUCCAUGCAUCCACCUGGUACUGGAGUGCCUCCCAGAAUGACGCACGUCAU
ensembl:snRNA LOC120098016 U2 spliceosomal RNA